CCUACGGGAGGCAGCAGUGAGGAAUAUUGGUCAAUGGGCGUAAGCCUGAACCAGCCAAGUCGCGUGAGGGAUGAAGGUUCUAUGGAUCGUAAACCUCUUUUAUAAGGGAAUAAAGUGCGGGACGUGUCCCGUUUUGUAUGUACCUUAUGAAUAAGGAUCGGCUAACUCCGUGCCAGCAGCCGCGGUAAUACGGAGGAUCCGAGCGUUAUCCGGAUUUAUUGGGGUUAAAGGGUGCGUAGGCGGCCUUUUAAGUCAGCGGUGAAAGUCUGUGGCUCAACCAUAGAAUUGCCGUUGAAACUGGGAGGCUUGAGUAUGUUUGAGGCAGGCGGAAUGCGUGGUGUAGCGGUGAAAUGCUUAGAUAUCACGCAGAACCCCGAUUGCGAAGGCAGCCUACCAAGCCAUGACUGACGCUGAUGCACGAAAGCGUGGGGAUCAAACAGGAUUAGAUACCCUUGUAGUC
rnacentral:rRNA from 1 species